rnacentral:rRNA from 1 species
UUAGGCUAUGUUGGCCGGGCGACGGUUGUCCCGGUUUAAGCGUGUAGGCUGGUUUUCCAGGCAAAUCCGGAAAAUCAAGGCUGAGGCGUGAUGACGAGGCACUACGGUGCUGAAGCAACAAAUGCCCUGCUUCCAGGAAAAGCCUCUAAGCAUCAGGUAACAUCAAAUCGUACCCCAAACCGACACAGGUGGUCAGGUAGAGAAUACCAAGGCGCUUGAGAGAACUCGGGUGAAGGAACUAGGCAACAUGGUGCCGUAACUUCGGGAGAAGGCACGCUGAUAUGUAGGUGAAGCGACCUGCUCGUGGAGCUGAAAUCAGUCGAAGAUACCAGCUGGCUGCAACUGUUUAUUAAAAACACAGCACUGUGCAAACACGAAAGUGGACGUAUACGGUGUGACGCCUCCCCGGUGCCGGAAGGUUAAUUGAUGGGGUUAGCGCAAGCGAAGCUCUUGAUCGAAGCCCCGGUAAACGGCGGCCGUAACUAUAACGGUCCUAAGGUAGCGAAAUUCCUUGUCGGGUAAGUUCCGACCUGCACGAAUGGCGUAAUGAUGGCCAGGCUGUCUCCACCCGAGACUCAGUGAAAUUGAACUCGCUGUGAAGAUGCAGUGUACCCGCGGCAAGACGGAAAGACCCCGUGAACCUUUACUAUAGCUUGACACUGAACAUUGAGCCUUGAUGUGUAGGAUAGGUGGGAGGCUUGAAGUGUGGACGCCAGUCUGCACGGAGCCGACCUUGAAAUACCACCCUUUAAUGUUUGAUGUUCUAACGUUGACCCGUAAUCCGGGUUGCGGACAGUGUCUGGUGGGUAGUUUGACUGGGGCGGUCUCCUCCUAAAGAGUAACGGAGGAGCACGAAGGUUGGCUAAUCCUGGUCGGACAUCAGGAGGUUAGUGCAAUGGCAUAAGCCAGCUUGACUGCGAGCGUGACGGCGCGAGCAGGUGCGAAAGCAGGUCAUAGUGAUCCGGUGGUUCUGAAUGGAAGGGCCAUCGCUCAACGGAUAGAAGGUACUCCGGGGAUAACAGGCUGAUACCGCCCAAGAGUUCAUAUCGACGGCGGUGUUUGGCACCUCGAUGUCGGCUCAUCACAUCCUGGGGCUGAAGUAGGUCCCAAGGGUAUGGCUGUUCGCCAUUUAAAGUGGUACGCGAGCUGGGUUUAGAACGUCGUGAGACAGUUCGGUCCCUAUCUGCCGUGGGCGCUGGAGAACUGAGGGGGGCUGCUCCUAGUACGAGAGGACCGGAGUGGACGCAUCACUGGUGUUCGGGUUGUCAUGCCAAUGGCACUGCCCGGUAGCUAAAUGCGGAAGAGAUAAGUGCUGAAAGCAUCUAAGCACGAAACUUGCCCCGAGAUGAGUUCUCCCUGACUCCUUGAGAGUCCUGAAGGAACGUUGAAGACGACGACGUUGAUAGGCCGGGUGUGUAAGCGCAGCGAUGCGUUGAGCUAACCGGUACUAAUGAACC